ACGGCAAAGAAGCCGCUGGGUUGGAGCACUAAAAUCUACCACGGGUAGGAACAGAAGGACGACGGGGUCGGAAAGGCUUGCUUUACGGCACGGCCAAGUGACUGAGUGGCUCCAGGAGGAUGUGAAGACGAGGGCAGGGAGCUUUUGCGACAGAAGGAAAAACGCCUGCCCCAGGCAUCUUUACGACGGAGGGGGCUGGAACUCAAACACUUUCAGCUUUGCGACAGUGGCACCGACGACCCCGCCCUCGGGGGAGGUGACACCUUGAAGUACUCGUUUUACGGCAAGAGGGAGGUGGUCGUCGUCUUGCGACUUAAGCUUCGAAGCGGUAUGAGUGGGGUCUGGAGGACCCAGAGAAGAGAACCGGCAGUUUUAUAAGUGAAAGUCUCUAUCCUCCACACCACUGAGACCGGAAAAAGUCUCAGCACUGGGAUGAAAUGAAUAUCCUGUCCACAUACCACCCUGCUGACAAGGACUAUGGAUUUAUGAAGGUGGAUGAGCCCAGCACUCCCUAUCACAGGAUGGAGGACAG